rnacentral:siRNA from 1 species
AUUAGAGUGCUCAAAGCAAGCC